rnacentral:lncRNA from 1 species
CCCGGCUUCGCGCGGGCCGGCCCGUCGUGUGCUUAGGGGCUCUGCUGGGAGUGCCAAAGCUCUCUCUUAAUUCUGUAAGGACGCUGUUUAAUUCUUAGAAGGAAUGCAGUUGAAGAAAACAAAAAACUGUAUGCAAUUUAUGAUACAAGUGUACCCAAUGAUCAUGGAUCAUUGCUCGAACAGGCAGAGCGCAGCAUAUGAAACUGUCCAAGCGCAGAGCAUUCCUUCAGCCCUGAUGCUGAGCAUCCACUGCCCAGCAUCCUGCUGUCACUCCAGUCUUCUGCUUCUGCUGAGAUACUGUCGAGAGGAAAAUAAGAAAGUUGAGCUUUCUGGAAAAAAAAAAAAAAAAAAACCAAAAC